rnacentral:rRNA from 1 species
UACGAAGGGUGCAAGCGUUACUCGGAAUUACUGGGCGUAAAGCGUGCGUAGGUGGUUUGUUAAGUCUGUUGUGAAAGCCCCGGGCUCAACCUGGGAAUGGCAAUGGAUACUGGCAGGCUAGAGUGCGGUAGAGGGUAGUGGAAUUCCCGGUGUAGCGGUGAAAUGCGUAGAGAUCGGGAGGAACACCAGUGGCGAAGGCGGCUACCUGGACCAGCACUCGAGCCACUGAGGCACGAAAGCGUGGGGAGCAAACAGGG